CGAACGAUUAACCCACCUUCGGGUGGUCAUAGAGUGGCGAACGGGUGAGUAACACGUGACCAACCUGCCUCAUGCAUCGGGAUAACUGCUGGAAACGGCAGCUAAUACCGGAUACUCUUGCAACUUCGCAUGGGGAUGCAAGGAAAGCUUUCGCGGCAUGAGAUGGGGUCGCGGCCCAUUAGGUAGACGGUGAGGUAGUGGCUCACCGUGCCUGCGAUGGGUAGCCGGACUGAGAGGUCGAUCGGCCACAUUGGGACUGAGAUACGGCCCAGACUCCUACGGGAGGCAGCAGUGGGGGAUAUUGCGCAAUGGGGGAAACCCUGACGCAGCAACGCCGCGUGCGGGAUGAAGGCUUUCGGGUUGUAAACCGCUUUCAGCAGGGAAGAUAAUGACGGUACCUGCAGAAGAAGCCCCGGCUAACUACGUGCCAGCAGCCGCGGUAAUACGUAGGGGGCAAGCGUUAUCCGGAUUCAUUGGGCGUAAAGCGCGCGCAGGCGGGCCGCUAAGCGGGACCUCUAAUCUUGGGGCUCAACCUCAUGCCGGGUCCCGAACUGGCAGCCUCGAGUGCGGUAGGGGUAAGCGGAAUUCCCGGUGUAGCGGUGGAAUGCGCAGAUAUCGGGAAGAACACCGAUGGCGAAGGCAGCUUACUGGGCCGACACUGACGCUGAGGCGCGAAAGCUAGG
rnacentral:rRNA from 1 species